rnacentral:lncRNA from 1 species
AGUGGAGCAAGUCAAAUAUUAUAGCAAAUAAAACAUAUGGACCCCAUAGGCAUGUUCUCUAUCCUUUAUGCAAGAAUAAAGCACACCCGUUCCCCAAUUUCACUAACGCCCCAAUUAUUUGUUAUUACAAGUUACAGGACCAAAAUAGAAUAAUAAAAACUCAAUGAUGAUAAAAUACAGACUGAAAUAACUACGGGCCCCAUCGAACAGUACAGGCCCACUAUAAAAUAACCCAGUGAAUUCCUGGGCCUUCAGCAGCCUCACCAACCAACAGAUCCAAAUUGCAGGCUCACAAGGACAAUGUAAUCUUCCUGACUCCAAUGCCUAGGUCCAACCAUGCAGGUGACAAACCGCUCCUGGAAUUAAUUAAACAACUUUUCACACUUAACUCCUAAAGCUGUAACUAACAACAGUUCUAACCAAAGCACAUAGACGAGAUCACAUGAAACACUGACAAGUUCACAAGGCAGGUUCAUGCUUGUGUUCUUAGAAACAAAGCUAAAGUGAUAGGAUUGACCAUUAUAGGAUAGUGAAUUAUUCCAAAAGAGUUUCAAAAGUAAAAUGAUGCAGAAUUAGCCUAAAAGAACUUUAGACACAAGAUUUAAACAUGAAAAUCUAAUAGUCGUAGACAAGAACAAAUAGAGCAUAGCCUCCAUAUGCAAGUUUUAACAUGAAGGCUUAGUGAAAAGCAACAUAACAGAAUAGGUUCAUGAUCGAGCAACCACUUAGUUGAGAAUGAGAAAAACUUUAACACGCUAAACAUCAGUCAUAAUACCAAAGUUCAGAAACAAUAUCAGAACUCAUGAUAGGUGAAAAUAUAUCAACUCCAGAUUAACAAGAUAUGCAGACACUAGGUCUUGAUAACGUAUAGGAGAAGGGGCUAGAUAUUGAAUCUCAUUCUAAAGGUCUUUAGGCAAUAUUAAAGAGCACUGGAUUGAACAAAUCAGGGACCACACGUUAAGUAGAAAUAAAACAUGUUUGGCUAAUUAACGUGAUCAAUAAUUAAGUUAUACAUAGAUGAUUUAACAUGAAUUAAAACAUAUUCUAGGCAUAAAUUGAUUUAUCACAAGAAUUCAGAAUAAGGUAGAAGAUAAAAUCAGGACAAGCAGUAGAUGUAAGCAUUCAGACACACACAAACACACCAGGCUAGACAUGCUUCAGAAAGCUAGAAUCAUAGUUAGAAUUUAGGCUAUUUCAGAUGCUAGAAAAAUACAGAACCAUGAGAAUAACUUCAGAGCAAAUAGGCUGCAAACAGAGAUGACAUAGUAGCAUAUUGAUUCACAAAUAUCUCAAUGACAUAGAUAUACAGAGCAAUAACACACACGAACAGAGAAUGAAACUGCAAAGGCCGAAGGAACUUACCAUUACCAAUUAACGAACAAGCAAAUGAGAGGAGCAAUUUUCAGAAGUUAUUCAAUUAAUAGUAGCAAAGAGCAGUAGAAUCUCCAAAAUCCUAGUGUGUCAGAGUUCCCAAGGGUCUCGAAUGAACCCCGGGCAAUGCUCACACUGAGAAAGAAUACAUUUGAAUUCAAAUGGCCUUGGAUUUCUGCCAGCCAAGGUCUCAAAUUCCAGAAUAUAAUGAGUGAGAAUAAGAGAAUAAUGCAGUGAUUCAGCAAUAAUCCUUGAGGCAUCAAAAGGGAACGGGGAAGGGAUUUAUGUAGUGGUAGAAGUUGAACGAACAAACAUAGAAGAUAGUUAAUUAAGCACAAAAUAAGGAAAGAAAAUCAAUCAAGCUCAAGCAAGGAAAAGGAAAAUCGCAACAUAUCCUAUUCCGAUUCAGAAUAGGUAAAAAUCGGACAAACCCUAGUUUGACGAGUAGUAAAAACAUUAGCCAAGAAUCUCGGUGAAUUGGACCCAUACGACCUUGUUGAGAAUGUAUACAGAUGAAUUUUCGUCUGAAUCUUGUAGGUUGAGGACGAUUGUACUCGAUUCGUAGAGGCAAUACUUGCCAAAAUCGGGCAAGUACUAAGUAAUACCACGAGCGUAUGAAUGACAAUGAGAUAGUGCAAAUAAUGUAAGAAGAUCGUGAAAGAAUUUCACGAUUUAGCUGGGUUUUGAGGGGAUUUGGGAGGAGGCGGCUAGGGUUUGGUGUAGGAGCGGGGAGAUGAGAGAAUGCAGAGGCGGCUGGGUAAGAUCAACGGCCAUGAUUAAAAGUGAAGUGGGGCAGAUUGUAAGGCGGGUCACGACCGGGUAAGGGGUUGUUUAGUUUGGGCUUGGGGUUAUUGGGCUAAGGUUUUGGGGUUUGGGCCGGUGUAAUUAUAAAAAUGACUAAUAAAUAAUAAAAAUAUUAUUCGUACAGUAAAAUAAAAACUUAACAUUAUAAAAAUAUAAGAAAAGCUAUUUUGAUAUAAAUAAUAUAAUAAAUAUAAUUAUGUAUAGAAUAUAGGCUAUUAUUGUAAAAUUAUAUAAAAUAGCUUUAAAAAUAUAAAUAUAAUUAUAUAAAAAGCAAUUAAAAUAUUUUGAGACAUAUAUGUGGAUGAAAAUAAUAAAUUUAGAUAAUAAAUCACCACAAAAUAAUUUAGAGGGUAAUCAAUACAUAUUCAAGUAAUUUAAAUACAAGAAAAUCAAUUUUAAAGCUUUUAAAAAUUAUGAAACAUUAUAGAAAAUACUUGUAUGACUCUCGUAAAUUGGUGAUGAUGCAGGAAUGAUAUUUUUAAACAUAUAAGAUAUUUAUAAAAAUAUGAGGGCAAAAUUGGGUAUAAACAAUGGGCUAGGUGUUUGGGCCUGAUUUUUAGUCUAGAAUUAGCUCAAAAUUGGGCUACAUUUUAAAUACACGAAAUUCAUAAAACAUAAAUUAUAGAAAAUGACUAAUAAAUAAUAAAUAUAUUAUUUAUUCAGUAAAAUGAUUGAAAAUAAUAGCUUAACAUUAUAAAAAAUAAAAAAAAAUACUAUUUUGGCAUAAAUAAUAUAAUAAACGCAAUUAUUGUAACUAGUAUAGAUAAAAUAGAAAAAUACAAAUAUUAUGAUGUAAAAAUGAGAUAAAAUAUUAUAAAAUGCAUAUGGGUAUAAAAUAAUAAAUUUUGAUGAUCAAAUCACCCUAAAAUAAUUUAAAGGGAUAAUUAAUAAAUAUUUGAACAAGAAAAUCAAUUUUAAAGCUUUAAAAAGUUUUAUGGUAAAUUACAGAAAAUACUUAUAUGACCCUUGUAAAUUAGGUAAUAAUGCAAAUGAUAUUUUGAAAGUAUAUAUAAUACUUUAUAAAAUAUGAGGACAAAAUAGGGUAUCAACACCUUCCACGGACACGAUGAACAAUAACCCCUGCCAACAACUUACCUCCGCGAUCGCGACAGCCUCUUCGCGAUCGUAAUGAAUGAAUCUAGAAGCACAGAAUCAGCAGUCCCAACAUGAUGGAAAUGGUCUGAAACCCAUCCAAAACACACCAACCAAUCCCAAAACAUGAAAUGAACUUAUUCGAGGCCACAAAUCACAUUAAACAAUUUCAAAACCACGAAUCGCACGCCAAUUCAAGCCUAAUGAACUAAUAAACUUUCAACUUCCAAAACUCAUGCCGAACCAUAUAAAAUUAACUCCGAAUGACCUCAAAUUUUUGCAUCCUAGUACCAAAUGACAUAACGGUCCUAUUCCAUAUUCCGAAACCAAAAUACAAACCCGAUAUCAAUAAAGUCAUCUCCCGGUCAAACCAUUCAACCUUCCAAACCAUAAACUUUUCAACUUUCGUCAAUAAGCAUCAAAUCAAUCUACGGACCUCCAAAUCUAAAUUUGAACAUAUUCCUAAGUCCAAAAUCACUAUACGAAGCUAUUGAAACCAUCAAAACUCCAUUCCGGAGUUGUCUACACAAAAUGCAACCUCCGGUCAACUCUUUUAACUAAAGAUUCUAACCUUGGAACUAAAUUUUCCAAUUCACUCCGAAACCUCCCCGGAACCAAACUAAUCACCCCGACAAGUCACGUAUUCACAAAUACACAUAAGUAAAGCAUCAAAUAGGGAAAAUGGGGCUAUAAUACCCAAAAUGACCGGCCGUGUCGUUGCAAUAUGCAUGCUCAAGAUCCCUUUCUCAACAACUCACAGCACAAAUCCAUGCACCUGACACAAGCCACAUGUUCAACCAAGUACAGCAAAACCCAGUUGCCUAUGCUCACACGGCCAAAAGUAACAUGGGUAGUCACCUGACUCCGGAGGGACGGAUCCAUAUCCAAGCAUUGAUGGCUAUGACUAAUAAAAAUGCAGAUAAAAGCUCGUAGAGCUAAAAGAUGGCUAUGACUAAUCAUGUAAUUCAAUUUAUUAUUAAAAAGGCUCAAUAAGCUAUUUAAGCAUGCAAAAGUUUAAUUAUCUCAUUUAACAUGAGCCAUUUAAUCCACAGAAACAACCAAAUCCUGGAGAAAAUAAGGCAAAUGUAGGACUAUAGAUUAAUAAUAAAUCUUAUCAAGGAAAAAUAAUCCUUUGUGUCCGAAUCCACAAGUCAUAACAUUAAAUAUGCUCCUAAAUCAUAUUUAUAAAUUAUCACAUUGUCAUAAAAUCAAUUGAAACAUGGAUAUUAACUUCAUAUAAUCCAAGAAAAACAUAACUCUAGUAAAUGAUACCGGAUAUGGUCAGAACCUAGCUACGCAUAUACGCUCGUCGCCUUGUAUAUACGUGGAUCCUAAAUCGAGCAACAAGUAACAAAUAGAUCGUCUAUGGGGAGAAUUACCUCUUAAAAGGAUAGACAAGAGACUUACCUAUAUUCGGCAAGAUUCAAUCAACAACAAACCACCUUUUCCGUUCAAAUCCAACACCAAACAACUUGAAUCUAGUCAAAUACAACUCAAUAACGUCAAACAAAGCCAUAUCAAUCAAUUUUAAAUAAUAAAGUUUCAAUCUUUAAUCAAAUACCCAAAAUUCAACCCGGACCCACAUAGUCAAUACCCGAGUCAAGGGGUAAAUAUCGACUACCCAUAACCCACUAGUCCAAAUAUAUGAUUAAAUAACAAAACCGAGUCCAAAUCGACCCUCAUAUCCCCAAUAUUCACCCUCUUAAGUUGUAGACAAAAACCUCAAUUUUUCUUCAAAAUUCCAUGAUUAAAGUAUACAAAUCAAUGGGGAAUCAAGAUACAUAUUCAAAUCCAAGUGAUAAUUACUUACCCAUAACAUAGUAGUGAAAAUCUCUUCCAGUAUCACCUCUUCCCGUGCUCCAAAACUCAAAAUAAUAAAAAAUGAGCAAACCCUCGAAAUAUAAACGUUCUACCAGGUAUUCCGCAUCUGCAACAAAAGCCUCGCAAUUGGGAUCUCGUAUGUGCGACAAAAAUCUCACAUCUGUGAGAAACCUUCGCAAGCCUCGGUUCUACUUGUACGACAAAAUCAAUGCAUAUGCGACACAGCACCCUGUCAAACCUCGCAAAAGCACAACCUUCUCCAUAGAUAUACCUUGCACCUGCGGUCCCACUAAUCAUAGGUGUGACCAACCACUGGAUCAGCAUAACACAUAGAAGUGACCUCCUUCACGUUGCACCUGCGCUCUAUACUUUGCAGGUGCAAUGCACCAGUACUAGC